GGGCAAGGGGUGUGAGAUAGAAGCGAGCGAGCCCUCGAGUUCUUCGGGGCAUGUGGGAAGGUUUUUUUCAGGAUCCAGGCAGAACCUUACAGAGCUGGGAGUUUUUUAACUUUCCAUUCCUGGCAGUGACGCCAGGAGCUUUAAGUGAUGGAAAUGUGCAAGUCAAUCAGUGGAUGGUGAACAAAAGAACAGUAAAUGGAAUAACUUGGCUAGAAUAUGGCAGUAACUACAAGGCAUGUUCUGCUCUGGCACGAAGACAACCAACCUGAGGCACCAGACACAUGAGUGAAGCCAUCUUGCACUUCCCAGUCACAGCCAAACUCACUCCUGAGUGCAUCUGCAUGAUGAACCCAGAAAUCCCCACCACGGAGCAAAGGAUCCAUCCAGUCAACCCAAAGAAUCAUGAAAAAUAAUAAAUUGUUGUUUUAAAGUU
rnacentral:antisense_RNA from 1 species